GACGAACGCUGGCGGCGUGCUUAACACAUGCAAGUCGAGCGGUAAGGCCCUUUCGGGGGUACACGAGCGGCGAACGGGUGAGUAACACGUGGGUGACCUGCCCUCAGCUCUGGGAUAAGCCUGGGAAACCGGGUCUAAUACUGGAUAUGACUCCAUGACGCAUGUUGUGGGGUGGAAAGCCUUGUGCGGCUGAGGAUGGGCCCGCGGCCUAUCAGCCUGUUGGUGGGGUGANGGCCUACCAAGGCGACGACGGGUAGCCGGCCUGAGAGGGCGACCGGCCACACUGGGACUGAGACACGGCCCAGACUCCUACGGGAGGCAGCAGUGGGGAAUCUUGCGCAAUGGGCGAAAGCCUGACGCAGCGACGCCGCGUGAGGGAUGACGGCCUCGGUU
rnacentral:rRNA from 1 species